GGGCGUCUCUAUAAAAGCAGAUGGCACCUGUCAUUUGAAGCUGGACUGUCGUCUAAUCUCCAGUUAGUGCUGGGAGUAGAACUGUCUUUGCCACCAGCCUAGAAUUGCCAGUAAUUCUAUUUUCUGUGUUUAGAAAGCUGAUUCCUGCCUGCUGAGUUGCCUGGGUUCCUUCGUCUGCUGGUUUUCCACCCUACCACCGAUUCGGUCUUCUUCUCCGGAGGAUCUCCACCUGUUGCCAGCUUAACCUGGGAACAUCAACGUACACCUGGAAAGAGGACUUUCUCUGGUUCACUUACAGGCCUGGGUCUCGUAAUGUAAAGCCUGAUGCUCUUUCUCGACAGUUUUCUGGUUCUGAGGAAUUUAAGACUCCUGAGCCUAUCCUUCCUGGAUCCUGUUUGGUGGCAUCACCUACCUGGCAGGUGGAGACUAAGGUGUUGCAGUGGGGCCACACCUCCAAGAUUGCCUGUCAUCCGGGAUAUAACUGUAUCCUGGAGAUUCUGUGACUGAAGUUUUGGUGGCCCACCAUGGACAAGAAUGUCAGAAUAUGUGAAGGCCUGUACGGUUUGUUCAAGGAACAAGAUGUCCAGCCAACCCAUCUCUGGAGUCUUGCAACCGCUGCCUAUUCCAAAACGUUCUUGGUCUCACAUCGCAGUAGGUUUUGUCACGGGAUUGCCUCUGUCUCAAGCCAACGGCCAGACUGAGCGCACAAACCAGUCCCUGGAGGUUUUCCUGCACUGUCUGGCAUCAGAGAAUCCAUCUUCAUGGUCUGAGAGGUUGCCAUGGAUUGAGAGCAGGACAUUUCCAUUCUGUCUGUCCAGGCUAUGGUUGGGAGGUUCAGGCGCACCUGGAAGAAGGCCAGGUGGGCACUUCUCCAAUGGUCACAAAGGAUGUCCGUGCAGGCAAAUCGUCAUCGCAGACCAGCUCCAGUUUAUCGGCCUGGACAGAAGGUGUGUGUGGUGAAGCUGGCAGCAGGUGUGCUGCAUCGUAAUCAGCGGACGAGCUUCAGAAAGCAGAUUCCUGCCUGCUGAGUUGCCUGGGUUCCUUCGUCUGCUGGUUUUCUGCCCUACCACGGACUCUGUCUUCUUCUCCGGAGGAUCUCCACCUAUUGCCAGCUUAACCUGGGAACAGCAACGUACACCUGGCAAGAGGACUUUCUCUGGGAACAUCUGCCACGACCAGGUUCUACUGAUGUCAACUUACCAAGCACAUGGCAAACACUGGGAGGGAGAGUUCUGGAUGAAGUCAAACCAAAAGGACUGUUCUCAGCUCAUCAGUUAAGUCUCCAAACCCUAGUAUCACCAGACUCUUUGUAUUGUUAAUACGUCAAAUUAAAUGAUCAGCAUUCCGUAUUUAACUUAAUGUCUUUUAUGUUUUGCGUAGGAUGGCUUUAGUCUGGGGUUUCAGCUCAUAAUUACUGGUAGUCUAGGCUGGGUUAGUUUUGUAUUUUCAGUUGUUUCCCUACCUUGGUCUUGCCAUAUGUGGGUUAACAUUAGUUUGUUUCCAUGUUCAUGUAGUUACUCCUCCGUACCUCUAGAUGGUUUUUGUUUUUUAGUUCUAGUAGUAUAGUUCUUUGUCUAAGAUCCUGGUUCCUGUAUAGAGUUUCUUGUUGUGAAUAAAAGCAUUUUUAAAAUGUU
ensembl:lncRNA